rnacentral:lncRNA from 1 species
CACGUUUGCAUGUGCGCCUGAAGGAGGGGUCCAAGGGAUAUUUGUGUGUUUGGAGAGCCUAAAAUAAAUUAGGAAGGUUGAAGUUUUUAAUACCAUCUGACCAAGCAAUGGGGAAAAGUACCUAAGUGGAGUUUAAGCACCAUCUGAAUUUCAGACAAAAACACAAUCAUUCUUGUCUUUUUCACUGCUUUUCACAUUUAGUGUCUUCUCAUAGAAAUUCCAAAACAUUGCAGAUUACUUAUAUUCAUAUCUGUAGAGUCUUCUUGAAAUUCAUUUAUUCAAAAACUGCAGGAUAUUAAAGAGUUAGCCCUAUGCCUCUUAAAAACAAAACUAUGUCAGGACCACACAAAUGAUACAGAUUGAACAGACCUGCCGGUUGCUUAGAGAAAAAAUACACUUUAAGCAAAAGCUAAACAUCUGUUGUUCAUAAAGCUUGCCAUAGUGCUAAGGGCAAGAAAAACUUAAAGGGGGAAGCUCUUUUUUCUAUCAAGGAGUGAUUCUUCUAGUUGAGAAGAAGGUAUCUAUAUGAAACAAAAAGAUAAGCAGUUCUAAAACCACACAUAAUGAAUAUGUAGAUAUAUGUAUAUUACAUAUGUAUUCUUGUAUGAAUGGAUGCCAGUGAAUGGAGGAGGACUUCUUAAAGUGGGUAAGUUGUUCUUUGUCUUGAAGUAAGUACAGGAUUUGGAUUGAUGGAAAGGGAAAGCAUGAGAAUGCAAAAGAGCCCACAGACGAGGAGCAAAGGGUACAAGAGAGGACAGAAGUAGAGCCAGUUCAUGAAGAGACAUGACUGCUGGAAUAAAAAUUUCAGCUUUGCUUUGAUACGUAUGUGAAAGCUACAGUAAGGAGUUUAUACGUUUGAUUCAUUUGGCCUUUUAUUCCUUAACUUGGGCAUUGAUUUAUUAAUUCAGCAAGUGCACAUUACAUACCUAGAAUAUAUCAGGCUCUCCGUUAGGGCUAGGGCAGUGGUUCUGGUUCAGGGGCAAUAUUGGCCCCCAGGAAGCACUGAGCAAUGUCUGGAGAUGUUCUUCAAGGGUCACAAUGCGGGUAGGUGACUACUGGCAUUUAGUGGGUAGAGGGCCCAAAUGCUGCCAAACCUCCUAAAAUGUACAGUAUAACACCCCCUACAGCAAAGAAUAUUGACAUUUCUGGCCCAAAACAUCAGUAUUGCUGCUGUUGAGAAACCCUGGGCUGCAUGGUACAGAUAUCUGAGAUGUAGUUCUUGCCUGCUCUGGGAUUCCAAGGGCAGUGGAAGCUGUAAACUAAUAAUUCCACUCUACUAAGUUCUACAAUCAAAGCAGGUAUCAGGUGCUGUGGAAGAGCAGAAGAUUUGCCACUCACUUUGCUUCAGGUUGGAAGGUUUUCUGGAGGAAGGUUGCAUUGGAGAGGAGUCUUGGAAGGAGAUGGAGGAGUCUUGCUAUGUUGUCCAAGCUGGCCUCAAACUCCCAGACCUCAGCGUCUCGAAUAGUUGCGACUACAGGAACAUGCCAUCUUUCUCCUUUUAAGAAGAAGCCAUGCCUCCCCUCUCCCCUCUGAUGAGGACCUCAGGCACAGAGAGCUGGAGUGACUUGCUCAAGGUCACAGAGCUGGAAAGAGGAGAGCCAGGAGUCACACGCAGGGCUCCAAGUGUUCCCCCCAACCCACCCACAGCACUGCUUCUGAGGGGCAGCCUUACACAUGGCCCGGGAUGCUCCAAAAGGUUGACCUUACCACAGACCAUCCGAAGGGACAAAAUGGCCAGUACACUUGUUCUCUUUGUUUUUGUUUUGCUUUGCUUUUAAGGAGUGUGACUAACAGCCCAAACCCUCUCCACUAGUGCCCUGGAGUUUGAGGGUACAACCUUUGAUUGCACCAGUCAGUCCUCAUUAAUGAGGGCUCUUAGGCUUCCCCCUUUGCACAGCCCCAUCCCAGCCCAGGAAGCCAUUUUACAGCAAUAUAUGUGUAUAUAUUAAUUACCACGCAUUUUUAUGGGGAAAACACCUUAAAUAAACAGUGAGAAGGCAGACAGGUAAAAUCAAAUAGGAUAACAAUUCUGGGAUCUCCAGUGCUCUAUUUGACUCACUGAAAGGACUGUGGAAAUCAACUGGAGGCCUUCACUCCUGGCAAGCCUUCACAGUUUCAGAGUUUCCAUGUUAUUACUCAUCUCCUUGCUGGCCCUUCUCCUCCCAGCUUUGAAUUUCCACCACUAAGCUCUAGGGAAAGAACAAGAGCUGUGGGCUAGUCAGGCCUUAGUGGGGAGGCAGAGAAUUCAUGCACAUCCUUCAGCUGUGCAGCGGACCCCCAAGGGCAGCUCCUGUUCCAGGCCCACACCCACCGGGAAUCUGGCCAAAAGACCAGAGCCAACUCCACAAAGCAUUUCUGAGAAAUGGAUAUUUCACUCAAGGCUUUGAGGAAAGAUUCUCAUUAUACAGGACAUGUGGCAAAAAAUAUCCAAAACCCCCUACUUAAGCAUCUCUGUUUCUCCCUUCCAGACACAAUAAACAGCAACAAAGGGAGGGGCAAGGGAAUGAAUGACUAAAGGAAGGACAAAGUGGAAGAAGAGAAAGAACAAGGGAAUGAAAAAUACUUUUCUGUGAAUGUAGGUGAACCAAGUAUCUUCUCUGGCUGAGUUAGCAAAGGGGAAUUCUAUGGGGAGAUGACAGUGAAGCGGGAAAUUUCCCUGACCCCUUUGCAAGUGGGAACUGGAGUGCAGGCACUGGAGUUAGCCGGCUGCUUCGGCACUGGCAGGGGCGAACUCCACUCACUCGAACCCAUUGCUCUCAGCUCCUCAUGGGAGGGAAUGCACAGGUGAGUGGAUGCAGGAACUGGGGUGAGUGCUUUCAGGCACCAGCAGGAGCAAAACUUUGUGUGGGCCCCGUGGCAGCAUCUAGUGGGGAGAACCUGUGAUGCUGUCCAUGGACAGCUUAAGUAUUAAACAGCUCAGUGGGCCCUCUGCCUUUUUGCGUGAGAUAGUUGCUUUCCACCAGCAAGGGUAGAAGGUCAGUGUGACAGCCUUUCUUUUCUGCACCUGUGGCACUGAGCUCUUGUUUGGUGUCCAGGAAAAAUCAGGUAGCACGAACAAAUUGAAGAGUGGUGAAUGUGGAGGAUUUUAUUGCUGACGAAAGUGAUGAAGGGAACCUGAAAAGGGGAUGGAGUGGGAAGCUAUGCUUUCAAGCCGUCCCUCUGAAGUCAAGCCUAUCCCUCUGAUGUCAAGCUGCUUCUCUCCAACAUCCAGCUGCUUCUCCUCCCUCUGACAGCUGAGCCUGGGGUUUUUAUGGGCACAAGACUGGAGGCAGGGUGGGCCAUGGGUGGUUUUGGAAAAGUCAGCAUUCCAGACAGAAAACAGAGAUGUAAACUCUCACUUUGAGCCACAGGAUUGGGCUUUUUGGCUUGAGGGUGGAGCCCUCACCAGGGACCCGACCUCUUCUGCCCAGAAUUUCUCACCCUCCUGUCCCUAUCAACGGUAAAAUAAACAUGUGAACAUAUUUGCUGCUUCUCUUCUCUUUAUGGCUCUGCAUUAUUUAUGAACCAUGAAGGUAAAUUUCAAUGGCAGGAGAGUGAAGGUGGUGGACUUCUUUCCAAAAUUUCUCUGACCAUCUCUAUGCAAUUUGCCAAGAGAAGGAAGACACAAGCUGCACCUCUUACUGCAGGCCUUACUGAGGCUUUAUGGAGGAAAUCAAUUACAAGUUAUCCAUAAAGCUUUGGGGCACCCAAGUUGCUCAACUACAGCUAUAAAAGGAGGAUAAGUCUAUCUGGCAGAGCCUCAGUUUACUGUACUAGAACUUGAAUAUCCGUGGCUUGGGAAUAAAGGAAUGAUCACAUUUGAAUGCAAAUGUCUAGGGAAAGCAGAUAUAGCUUGUUAUCUUGAAUAAUCUGAGUAAUAUGACAAUGCCACCUGUUACCUAAUGAAAACCAAAGACUGUCCUUACCUCAAUGCCCUAGGUGCCAGCUACAAGGGCCAGUAUCAUUCCAGGUGUCUUCCUGCGUAUGGACAAGCCUUUCUUCUGCCAGUCUUGCAUCUGCAAACACAUCUGCUCAGGGCACUCCCUGUGCAAAACACUCAGUAACUCCCCACUGCAUGCAGAGUUCAACCCAUACUCCUCAGCCUGGCAGUAAAAAUCUUUCUUCACUUAACAUCCACAUGACUUUCCAUCUCAGGUCCCUGUCCCACCUGCCAUCCCACCCACUGUUGAGGCUGGCAUCAGCUACUCAGCUCCCUGAAUGUGCUUUGCAUCCCCCUCUCUCCUCACUCCUGGACCAUUGCUGAAAUGUUUCAGAUGCUUAGGGAGCGCUUUUCCCUUGCUUCCCUUCACAGCAGCAAUAUUCACCUGACCUAAACAUUCUUCAGGGGCCAGCUUAAAUCUCACUACUUGCCAAA